ACUGGGCCAAUAGGGUGUUUCCUUCAAGCAAGAAAACGUGUAUCAUAAUCACAUGUAUUGACAAAAACUGCCAGACAUGAUAGUACAUUUUCUAUAAGUGUGUGUUCUUUUUGUUCUGAGGACUGUCUUAAUUUGUGAGUAAUCUGAUUCCUGCUAAUCAUUUAGUAAAAAUUAAUCUGCAGGAAGAAAUUCUGUGUUUGUCCCAUUUCCCUGCAAACACUGGACAGGAUAUGUAGGCCUUGUCUGAGAAGCUGAGUUUAGAUCAAGCCUGUCGGUUGCCCGAGCUUUCUUGGCCUCCAGCCCACAGCACAGCUGUUCGACUGAUGCUCCCUCUCCUCAACGCAGGCCAGGCCUGACUAGAUUCAUGUAGCCUCCUGCCUUUCCAGGAAAAGAGACCCACGAAGAAGGUGACGCUGCAACAAUAACGAACAAUCUUAUCUUUCUCCUUUAGAAAGUUCAAACUCUAGCAAGUUCUCAGAUGAAAAAUACUUGGACUUUUUUUAAAAAAAAACUUUUUUAUUUCUAAUCCUUAAUGCCAACAUUAAACAAUCAAAGGACAUGGGCAACUAAGUCAUGUGGAAGAUGGAGUGGUGAUUGUCCAGCUGAGACUGGGACGGUCUGGAUGUAGAACUCUCAGCUACCCCUCCAGCUCCAUGUCUCUCUGCCGUAAUGAUACUGGACUAAACCUUUGAACUGAGUUGAUGAAUCUGCGCUCAAGCCCUUGAAGUGCACUGGGCUGGGUUCAAGAGACAUGCCUUUAAAGACUGGCUGCCUUUGGAGAGUCACUUCGUGUUCUAGUCCAUAGUUGUC
rnacentral:lncRNA from 1 species